rnacentral:rRNA from 1 species
CCUGCGAAAUUUAAGCAUAUCAAUAAGCGGGGGAGAAGAAACUAACAAGGAUUCCCCUAGUAACUGCGAGUGAGGGGGGAAGAGCUCAAAUUUGAAAUCUGGCGGCUUCGCGGGCCGAGUUGUAUUCUGGAGAAGCGUUUUCCGUGCUGGACCGUGUACAAGUCCCUUGGAACACGCCGUCGUAGAGGGUGAGAAUCCCGUCUUUGACACGGACUGCCAGUGCUCUGUGAUGCUCUCUCGAAGAGUCGAGUUGUUUGGGAAUGCAGCUCAAAAUGGGUGGUAAAUUCCAUCUAAAGCUAAAUAUUGGCGAGAGACCAAUAGCGAACAAGUACCGUGAGGGAAAGAUGAAAAGCACUUUGGAAAGAGAGUGAAACAGUACGUGAAAUUGUUGAAAGGGAAACGAUUGAAGUCAGUCGUGUCUCCUGGAACUCACCCGUGCUUCUGCUAGGCGCAUUUUCCAGUUUGAUGGGUCAGCAUCGGUUUCGGCCGGCUCACAAAGGUGCAACAACGGUGGCCGCCUCCCGGCGCGUGUUAUAGACAUAGCGUCUCAUCUCCCCGCUGGGCCCGAUGAAUCCGGCUGCGCUCCUGGGAUGCUCUUGUAAUCGCUCUUAGCGACCCCUCUUGAAACACGGAAAGAGCGAAUUCUUUUAUACACCCACGAGCUCGUCUCCUCUAGAGAGGAUAACCCAAGAACCCCC